GCGUUUGACGUGCAUGCAAAGUAGAGGGUCUGCACAUCCAAAUCUUUGCAAAAGUUUAUAUCAGAUAAUUUAAGAUUUAAUCUUUGAUUCUAUUGCUAAUUAGAUAAGAAUUUGAUUCUUAAUCAUGUAGUUAAAUAAAAAAAAAAUUUAGAUGCAACCUGGGCCUUUCGAGGAGAAACAGUUUCUUUCCCUUCAAUUGGUAUCAGA
rnacentral:lncRNA from 1 species